GGAGGAAUAUUGGUCAAUGGGCGCAGGCCUGAACCAGCCAAGUCGCGUGAGGGAUGACGGUCCUACGGAUUGUAAACCUCUUUUGUCGGGGAGUAACGUGCGGGACGCGUCCCGUAUUGAGAGUACCCGAAGAAAAAGCAUCGGCUAACUCCGUGCCAGCAGCCGCGGGUAAUACGGAGGAUGCGAGCGUUAUCCGGAUUUAUUGGGUUUAAAGGGUGCGCAGGCGGCGCGCCAAGUCAGCGGUCAAAGUUCCGGGCUCAACCCGGUGUCGCCGUUGAAACUAGGCGUGCUCGAGUGCGUGCGAGGAAGGCGGAAUGCGUUGUGUAGCGGUGAAAUGCAUAGAUAUGACGCAG
rnacentral:rRNA from 1 species